AGCCAGGCCAGACGCCACAAAACAUGGGCGAAAUCUGCAGUUGAAACUUCCUUCCCCGUCCCAAAUUUACUACACCCGGAGAGAGGCUCUUUUGCCAGAGUCUCCGGACAAAUGACUUCUGCUCGGCCCAGAGCACUGUAGCCCCGGGAAGCACGCUCAGAACUAGUCCCACGGCCAAGUUUCUUCACUCACCCGGUGGUUCUUCACCUUGUUGGGUCACAGAGCCUUCAAGGAGUCUAAGAAAGCUGUAGACCUUCUCUUCAGAAAAAUAUUAAUAAGCUCAUUCACACUAAAAUGUAUAGAUGAUUUCAAAGAGAAGUCUGCAGUUACCUGAGGUUCUUUGGAGAACAUCAUGGCUACUUGAGAUGGGAUCUAGAAAGACAACACCCUGCUCUUGAAUCCUGGGAGCUCCAAGAGGAAGUAGGACCAGAAUCUCAUUAACACUAGAAACCAAGAAAAUUUGGAUCUGUAUGAUUCAGAGC